rnacentral:rRNA from 1 species
UACGUAGGUGGCAAGCGUUGUCCGGAAUUACUGGGCGUAAAGGGCGAGUAGGCGGUAAUACAAGUCAGAUGUGAAAGGCGAGGGCUCAACCCUCGGAUUGCAUUUGAAACUGUAUGACUUGAGUGCGGUAGAGGAAAGUGGAAUUCCCAGUGUAGCGGUGAAAUGCGUAGAUAUUGGGAGGAACACCAGUGGCGAAGGCGACUUUCUGGGCCGUAACUGACGCUGAGGCGCGAAAGCGUGGGGAGCGAACAGGAUUAGAUACCCUGGUAGUCCACGCCGUAAACGAUGGAUGCUAGGUGUGGGAGGUAUCGACCCCUUCCGUGCCGGAGUUAACGCAAUAAGUACCCCGUCUGGGGAGUACGGUCGCAAGACUGAA